rnacentral:rRNA from 1 species
GUGAGGAAUUUUCCGCAAUGGGCGAAAGCCUGACGGAGCAAUGCCGCGUGAAGGAUGAAGGCCUAUGGGUUGUAAACUUCUUUUCUCAGAAAAGAAUUAUGACGGUAUCUGAGGAAUAAGCAUCGGCUAACUCUGUGCCAGCAGCCGCGGUAAGACAGAGGAUGCAAGCGUUAUCCGGAAUGAUUGGGCGUAAAGCGUCUGUAGGUUGUUUAAAAAGUAUUCUGUCAAAGAUUAGGGCUUAACCCUAGAUAGGCAGAAUAAACUUUUAAGCUAGAGUGUGGUAGAGGAAGAGGGAAUUACCGGUGGAGCGGUGAAAUGCGUAGAUAUCGGGAGGAACACCAAAGGCGAAGGCAAUCUGCUGGGCCAAUACUAACACUGAGAGACGAAAGCGAGGGGAGCAAAUGGGAUUAGAAACCCUAGUAGUCC